CCUACGGGAGGCAGCAGUGGGGAAUAUUGCACAAUGGGGGGAACCCUGAUGCAGCGACGCCGCGUGGGGGAAGGAGUAUUUCGGUAUGUAAAGCCCUAUCAGCAGGGAAGAACAAUGACGGUACCUGACGAAGAAGCACCGGCUAAAUACGUGCCAGCAGCCGCGGUAAUACGUAUGGUGCAAGCGUUAUCCGGAUUUACUGGGUGUAAGGGGAGCGCAGGCGGCGCGUUAAGCCUGGUGUGAAAGCCCGCGGCCCAACCGCGGGACUGCAUUGGGAACUGGCGCGCUGGAGUUCCGGAGGGGUAGGCGGAAUUCCUGGUGUAGCGGUGAAAUGCGUAGAUAUUAGGAGGAACACCAGUGGCGAAGGCGGCCUACUGGACGGUGACUGACGCUGAGGCUCGAAAGCGUGGGGAGCAAACAGGAUUAGAUACCCUGGUAGUC
rnacentral:rRNA from 1 species